UCCUCACCAGCCCAACCCAACUCCCUACAAACACCACACACACACAAACACACAGAUCAACGUUGAAGGGGCACACAUGGGGCGUUAAAUAUUAUCGAGUAGAAGAUCACAAGACUCAGGCGGCACAAGAAGUGCUCAGAAAUUAGGUAGGAGGGGAAUAAAGCAUUAAGGGAACAUUGUAAUGAAUUAAAGAACUGUUUGCACGGCUGAAAGAAAACAAGGUUAUGGAGAAAACAUGUACCAUGCUGCGUCCCAUUGCCUUGUAUGGUGGUUGUCGCUGCUGAGUAAGCGUUGUCUUCCUCUUUAAUCCACCAAGGAAACACUAUGGUGUGCCUGAAUACACAAGCUCCACAACACUUUGCUGACGUAAGGGUUGCCCCCAUUUUAAAGGGUCACAGAAGAAAGGCUUACCUGUGGCUUGCUAUCUGAAGAAAGGUUUGGACGCACACUCCUAUAACCCUUGGCAGCCAGAGAAGAUGGU